CCCAUAGGAUACAAUUUGAACAUCUGGCCCAGCAUUCAAGACCCUGGGUGACUGGAUUCUGUACCUGCCUUUUUCCCCCAGACCUGUCUCCCACUGUCCAUCUGGAACCUUCACUUCUGCAGCAACCUGCUUGCCACCUGGCUCGUGUCCACACUGGCUUCUGCAUGUGCUGUCCCUCUGCCGACACUACUACCAGCUCCAGCCAAAGAGCCACCGCCUCAGGGAAGCCAGCUGUGGGUCCCCAGCAUGGGGAGGUCCCCUGGAGAGGCCCCUGUGGAAGACUCCACCCCCUUCUGCGAUGCUCUUUACUCCUGGGAUGACCCAGGGAGGAGGAGGAAGAGGCGGAGGUGGAGGAGCAGCCAAGGAGGCAGGAGUUAAAAAUCGGAGACACCAUGAGAGGAAGCAGACUGCUGGAAAGAGGUGGGCCAACCAGCUUCAAGGCAUUUAAUUACAUGCACAGUGUCACACAGUUGCCAAAAAGGGAGCCACGGUCUGCCUGAUGCCUGGCCUCACAUAACAACUCAAGAAAGGUCCUUGUUACCAGAGAGGCCCUAGGGUCCCGACCCUGAAGUGAUUUACAAGGGAGACCAUGACAUCAGUUCCUUGUACGUCUUCAUUCUUGAUGCCAACCCUUCCUUCUAACAAACUGGAGUGCGUCUGACAGCUGAGCCCAAAGCACAAAAACAGCUAUUCUUUUCCCAUGUAGACCAUCAUAGAC